rnacentral:lncRNA from 1 species
AUUCUUGCAGCCAGUUUCCAAAUUUCCCUUGACAAUUUUCUCUUUCUCAAUGUCCUGUAUGGGAGUAGACUCAGGAAUAGCAGCUUCAUCAGAAGGUACUAAUGAAGUCCUUUCUCGCCUUUUCUUCCGUUUCUUACUGCCCAGACUGGUGACCGGUUGGUCAUCCUUGAGUUGUUCAGAUGCAGCAUUUGUAACGGAUAUGCUUUCCUGUUUGUCUGUCGUACAGGAUGCCAGCUGGGUAACCUUUUUCCUUUUACUAGAAUGUGAACGAUCUCUGACAUUUUCUUCCAUUCCUAAGUUGAGGCUUUUCUCUACAGCAGGCUCAGAUUGUGAUGUUUUAAGAGCUGCCGCUAUGUCACUCCAGUACAAAUCUGAAGUCUUACGCCCAUCAACAUCUUUGUCUCUUAUCUCCAUCAUAA